rnacentral:lncRNA from 1 species
CAUGCGGGGAGAACUCUAUGUGAAGGUGAAGGCAGAGAUGCUUCAUUAAGCCAAGGAAUGCCAAAGGUGGCCAGCAAACCACCAGAAACCAGGCAAGAUGCAUGGAACAGAUUCUGUCUCGUAGCUCUCAGAAGGAACCAACCCUGCCAUCGCACAUUGAUUUUGGACUUCUGGCUUCCAGAACUGUGUGGGUUUGUCAUCCAGCGAGGAGAUGAGGAGAAAGUGCUGGGCCACUCCACUGGAGAAAUUGGAGACCUUUCUUCUGGCUGUGUCUAGGGAGCCAAGAGAGUG